GCCAUACCCGCUAACUUGGACUCUUGUCCAUCUGAUUAAAUUUAUGCAAUUAUUUUGCUUCUUCCUUCUACAAACUCUCAUUUCUCCACCUCUUCAUUUUCACUUCCUUCUCCCAUUGCUUUCUUCUCUGCUCCACAACCUCAACCUCCACUUAUAGGCGUUUUUUGUUUCAUAUAUUUUUUUCCUAUAUAUAUUAAAAAAAAGAA
rnacentral:misc_RNA from 1 species